UACGUAGGUGACAAGCGUUGUCCGGAUUUACUGGGCGUAAAGAGCGCGCAGGCGGUCGAUCAAGUCGAGUGUGAAAGCCCCCGGCUCAACUGGGGAGAGUCAUUCGAUACUGAUCGACUCGAAGGCAGGAGAGGGUAGUGGAAUUCCCGGUGUAGUGGUGAAAUGCGUAGAUAUCGUAAGGAAGACCAGUGGCGAAGGCGAAUCUCUGGACAGUUACUGACACUGAGGCACGAAGGCCAGGGGAGCAAACGGG
rnacentral:rRNA from 1 species